rnacentral:ncRNA from 1 species
AUAAAACGAGGAUUGCAAAGGACGGAACGUCCUUGCCGUUAAGUGGGGUGCUCAGUAAAAAUGCGUUAGCAUUUUACGCCGAAGGGGGA